rnacentral:rRNA from 1 species
AUUGAACGCUGGCGGCAGGCCUAACACAUGCAAGUCGAGCGAGCGGCGGACGGGUGAGUAAUGUAUGGGAAACUGCCCUAUGGAGGGGGAUAACUACUGGAAACGGUAGCUAAUACCGCAUACUAUCGGAUGUGCCCAGAUGGGAUUAGCUAGUAGGUGAGGUAAUGGCUCACCUAGGCGACGAUCCCUAGCUGGUCUGAGAGGAUGAUCAGCCACACUGGAACUGAGACACGGUCCAGACUCCUACGGGAGGCAGCAGUGGGGAAUAUUGCACAAUGGGCGCAAGCCUGAUGCAGCCAUGCCGCGUGUGUGAAGAAGGCCUUCGGGUUGUAAAGCACUUUCAGUCGGGAGGCGUUACCGACAGAAGAAGCACCGGCUAACUCCGUGCCAGCAGCCGCGGUAAUAC